rnacentral:rRNA from 1 species
AUGGUUAGCUACGAGGAGAUGGGGCUUAUUUCCUCAUAUACAAAUUUACAGCUGAACAUUUUUCCAAGACAUAGUGCACUAGCAACAAACCAUGGAGUAGCAUGGGUCACGUGCUUUCUUGAUGUCAGUGAAAAAUUGGGUCUGGGUUUUGAAUCUCUUGCACUGCUAACCAUUGUAUUUCAGCCAAAGUACAUCUGCACGAGGGAUCAAUGGAAGAUUGCUUCGUCUUAUUUGGGUUCUAAUCAUUGUCAGUGGCAUAGGCAAUUUCGAUCUACAUUGGAAACUGUUUGGCUGUUCAUCGAGGUCUUUUGA